CUUUUUUUUUUUUUUUUUUUUUUUUUUUUUUUUUUUUUUUUUUUUUUA
rnacentral:ribozyme from 1 species